CUACGUGCCAGCAGCCGCGGUAAUACGGAGGGUGCGAGCGUUAAUCGGAAUAACUGGGCGUAAAGGGCACGCAGGCGGUGACUUAAGUGAGGUGUGAAAGCCCCGGGCUUAACCUGGGAAUUGCAUUUCAUACUGGGUCGCUAGAGUACUUUAGGGAGGGGUAGAAUUCCACGUGUAGCGGUGAAAUGCGUAGAGAUGUGGAGGAAUACCGAAGGCGAAGGCAGCCCCUUGGGAAUGUACUGACGCUCAUGUGCGAAAGCGUGGGGAGCAAACAGGAUUAGAUACCCUGGUAGUCCACGCCCUAAACGAUGUCAAUUAGCUGUUGGGCAACUUGAUUGCUUAGUAGCGUAGCUAACGCGUGAAAUUGACCGCCUGGGGAGUACGGUCGCAAGAUUAAAACUCAAAGGAAUUGACGGGGACCCGCACAAGCGGUGGAUGAUGUGGAUUAAUUCGAUGCAACGCGAAGAACCUUACCUGGUCUUGACAU
rnacentral:rRNA from 1 species